GGGGAUUUGGCUCAGUGGUAGAGCGCUUACCUAGGAAGCACAAGGUCCUGGGUUCGGUCCCCAGCCCCG
rfam:Rattus norvegicus chromosome 4, whole genome shotgun sequence.